rnacentral:sRNA from 1 species
ACUGCCAUGAGACUGCAGAUGCAUGCAGC